UGCGUAGGCGGAAAAUUAAGUCAGUGGUGAAAUCCUGCAGCUCAACUGUAGAACUGUCAUUGAUACUGAUUUUCUUGAAUACAGUUGAGGUAGGCGGAAUAUGUAAUGUAGCGGUGAAAUGCUUAGAUAUUACAUAGAACACCGAUUGCGAAGGCAGCUUACUAAACUGUGAUUGACGCUGAGGCACGAAAGCGUGGGGAGCGAACAGGAUUAGAUACCCUGUAGUCC
rnacentral:rRNA from 1 species